CCAAUCUGUAGAUCAGAGGCUGUAGUUCCCAGAGUGUCCACCAGAGGCUACCCGAGGACCUGUUCGCUUUGGACUUGAGCGAGCAGACCACCGGGAGCUCUCUUUGAAUCUGGUUUUUGGUUGGUUGGUUGGACGGUUCGUUGGGUUUUUUGAUUUUUUUUUUUUUUUAAAUCUUACCCAAAAUAACUCAUCAGUAAGGAAAGCCAUCUAUGUCUCCAGCAGAUCCCUGUGCUGGGGAGAAUUACUAUACAGGCUGUUUUCCCAAAUAGCCUCCCAUUAAUAACAUUCCUUUGCCUGUCUGCAGCCUCCCACGUGUUACUUGCUGGCUGGCUCAACAAACCUGAGUACUGACAACAAAGGAGGAAGAGAUAGCAUGUUAAACCACAGAGCUAGAGAAAACAAGGCCUGGUAUGUCUAAAUGCCUUCAUAAAAAAUAUUUACUAUAUGAACAAGACUGAGGAGCCAGGUGCAGUGCCUGUAAUCCCAGCACUCUGGGUGCCUGAGGCAUCAGGAUCUCAAACUCAAUUCCAGACUGGGCCACUCAGAGACUUACCAAGACCCCAUCUCAAGAAUUUUUAAAAGAUGCCGUGCCUUGUCAUUUACCUUCUGGGGCCUCACAGAAACCCUCUGACUAUGGAACACUGGAGCAACACAUCAGUGUAUUACAAGCUAGAAGAGGAAGUGACAACACAGGGCCAAUAAAAUAUCUGGAGGGACAUCGGUCAGAGAAGCUAAAAGGCAUUCCUGAGAAAAACAAUGGGAGGAAGAAAAAGGCACAAGUCUCUUAAAGAUGUGGACAAGAAACCAGAAUUCUGUUGGCUUUCAUCUGGAAAUUAGGCUUGAACCACCAGUGCUGCUCCAGGAGGGCAUCUCGAGUAACCUUUUGGAAGUGCUGGCCUGGGAGGCACUUGGCUGUCGGAUGAGUCGGAGCUGGUGGCUGACAAGCGAGCACACCGGGCAGGAAUGCAUGAGCGAGGGACGGAGCCUGAGCAGAAGAAGAAAACCAACUCCUGAAUCCUCUGCUGCUGCUGCUGCUGCUGCUACAUGUGCACUUGGGUAACUGCACUUAAAUUUUCAGACAAAAUAAGACAGGCAACAGCACCCUGGCCUAAGGGACUAGUGGAAACUGAAGGGUACUGUUCUACGUGUGAAGGGAAGUGCAGUUAGGAACAGUGACAUUUAUUUUGAAGGAAACCCGAGCACAUACAGAAUUUCCUCAAGCCUGCUCAG
ensembl:lncRNA